rnacentral:tRNA from 1 species
CGGGCGGAAGCCAAACGGUGACGCGCCGCUGAUGGUCGGGGACAGGAACGCCCCGCAAAUCAAACGGUUCCAUCGUCGGCAAAUGGACGGGGACGAGGUUCAAGCCCCGUUCGCUCGCCCA